rnacentral:lncRNA from 1 species
AAACUUGAAUUUCAGAUAUGCAAUGAAAAAUGUUUGGAUAAGUAUGUCCUAUGCAACACUCGAGAUAUAUUAAUACUUAUACUAAGAAAUUACUGUCCGGUCGUGGUGGCUCACGCCUGUAAUCCCAGCACUUUGGGAGGCCGAGGCAGGUGGAUCACCUGAGGUCAGGAGUUCGAGACCAGCCUGGCGAACACAGUAGAACCCCCAUCUCUACUAAAAAUACAAAAAAUUAGCUGGGCGUGGUGGCGGGCGCCUGUAGUCCCAGUUACUCAGGGGCUAAGGCAGGAGAAUCGCUUGAACCCAGGAGGCAGAGGUUGCAGUGAGCCGAGAUCACGCCAUUGUACUCCAGCCUGGGCAACUAGAGCGAAACUCCGCUUCAAAAAAAAAUUACUCGUGGGUUCUCUGCAUUCCAAUUUUAGUGGGCAUCUUGCGUGUUAUCUCUACCCCUAUUUGGGGAGGGCUUUAUUUUCCUCAAUGGCGUCCCCACAUCAGGGCCUGUGUCUUGCACUCUCCCCCUGAGCGGGUAGCAGAGGCGUUAUCACAGAAGGAAGGUUCUGGGGAGUUGAAUCACAACAGGCCUCCGCCGCUAGCAGGGCGGGCGCGCCAGGGACUAGGCCGCUUGGCAGGUUCGCUUUUCUUCUUUCCAUUGCGCUGAACUCAAGGAGGAGGAGGAAAGUGGGAGCUGCUGCACUCACGGCUGAGUGUGCAUGGCUGGUAGGUGACAGCCUGAGGUCUGUUCGGUGACCCCGGCCCCUCGGAGGGCCCGCGGAGACUCAGAAUUAGCUGCACCUACCACGGUGCCCGCGGGUCGGGGUGCGGAUCCACACCCCAGAGGAAGGCCGCUCCCGGGCCGCGAGGACCUCGCUGGCGGCCGCUUGGGGCAGCAGACGCCCGCCCUGCGGGGAGGUGGGGCCUGCAGGCCGCGGGGCCGCUCUCGGAGCCCGGCAGGCCUGAGCAGGUCGGGGCGCGUGUUCCGGAAGCCCGGCCCCGGGCGCUGUGAGGGGCACCUGGGGACGCUCCGCGAGUCUGUGUCCCAGCGUGAGCUCAGCGGAAGACUGCAGAGUCCUGGGCCCACGAGAUUGUGCAUCCAGCUCUGGCUGUGGACCUGUGGUGUCGUGAUGACCUGGGAUCAUCAGAGAGCAGGAGGCCAUUCCCUUUGGUGCCUCUCAUUCCCUGUGUGCUGGCCAGCACAUCAUUAGGCCUGAUGGAAGGCUCUGUCAGGCCCUUCCCCACCGAGGGCCUCGUCAAGCUUCCUUGACAGGUGAGUGGGGUCCAUUUUGCUUGAAAGACUCUGGAAGGCUGGAGAAGAGAAUGAGUGCUCUCUCUCUCUCCUGUGGGAAGGCAGUGAGCUAGUGCCCUCUUGGGAAUGCGGUGGGAGAAUUCACCAGAUGCUUCCAGCAAAGCCGGGAAGUCCUAGUGAAUUACACGAUGAUUUCCACAGUGUUUAUCAAAGAUCUUCUGCUCCAAUAUAAAGCUCCCAAAUAUGGCAUUUCAUGAUGUGGCUGAGAUGUGGCCAAGUGUCCAAGACACAUAAAUAUUUACUAAAUAAGCAAGCAAAUGCACUUGGAAAUGCAUUUCUGUCUCGGUAUUAAUGCGGUGGUCAUUGGCAUUGAUUCUCAAAGUGAGGCCAUUUUAUGGAUCAUUCCCAGCAGGGACUAAGAAAACAUAUCAGUGUCCAGAUCUUUGAAGAUCCAGGAAGCACAGGGGGAGAGUUCAUGUUUUCCAAGGGAAGGUAACAUUUUUACACCCCAAGAGUCAGGAACCCCAUUCAGUGCUGAGCACAGGAGAAUUCAGAGGCGUUAGCUUCUGUGAGACUUGGGUUCAAGUCCUAGCUUUGGCCCUCCCUGUGACUAUGUGCAAAAACUCCACCUCUGUGAACUUCAGUUGCUUUGUCUAUAAACGCUGUCCAUGUCUCAUGGGGUUAUUGUGAUGAUUAGAUAAGAUAAUAUGUAUAAAGCGUCUGGCCAAUAUCAUGCACUCGUUAAAUAUUAGUUUUCCUUUUCCUUGAAUUAUUGGAUUUGUUUUGAAAACCUUGGGGUUCUACCAAAUCUCACACUCCUUCCCCAGGACGUUCCUCUGCAGUCCCGGUGUAUAUAUGCAGUGAAAGUGAAUCCACAUGUUCUUCACUUGUGUAUACUAAAAACAUCAAAAUGUUAUUCCAGAAGAUUUGUUUGAUGUUCAAAACACCAAAGUGGCAGCACUGAGUGGCAUGCUCUGAACAUGCCUGUCUUGCUGGAUUUUAAAGUGGCACCAGUCAGUGCCUUUAGCAUCCCUCCACUUACACUGGUCCUAGCGAUAACACAGGCUUAUACAAUAGCAAAGCCUGGCAUAUGAUUGCACUUUUUGCUGUAAAAUGUUUUCACAAAUAUUUCCCAUUUAAUCAUCAAAACAACUGUGUGUGUGUGUGUGUGUGUGUGUAGGUGUGUGUGUGAUCAAUGCAAUUAUUAUCCAACCUUACAGAUGGGUUUAAGUAGAAUCUCAGAGGUUUCAAGCAACUUGUCUAAAGGCAAAAAGCUGAUAAUUGGCAAUAGUGAGUUUCAGAUCAUAUUUUCAAAUGUAGAGCAUCCCACGGCUACCUGGAGCCUAGAAAUUAGAGGCUGUUCAACAUGAUUAAUCUCUCCCUUUGCCUUACUUUUUCUUGGUUUCCUAUGGGAAUUCCCACAGAGGUUUUAGCUUUUAGGCAGAUCUCGUGGAUUCAUUGCUCAGUGAGCAAAGUCACUGAGGGCUGGGCUCA